AGAGUUUGAUCCUGGCUCAGGAUAAACGCUGGCGGCGUGCCUAACACAUGCAAGUCGAACGUCCUACGCGCAAGCGUAGGGAGUGGCGGACGGGUGAGUAACACGUGGGCAAUCUACCUUUCGGUGAGGAAUACCGGCGAGAAAUCGCCGACAAGACCGCAUACGCUUCGCGAGAAGCAAAGUCGUAAGACGCCGGAGGAGGAGCCUGCGCCCGAUUAGCUGGUUGGUGGGGUAAAAGCCUACCAAGGCCUCGAUCGGUAGCUGGUCUGAGAGGAUGAUCAGCCACACUGGGAUUGAGAACGGCCCAGACUCCUACGGGGGGCAGCAGUGAGGAAUUUUCGUCAAUGGGGGCAACCCUGAACGAGCAACGCCGCGUGCAGGAUGACACUUUUCGGAGCGUAAACUGCUUUUCUCGGGGACGAGCAAGGACGGUACCCGAGGAAUCAGCCCCGGCUAACUACGUGCCAGCAGCCGCGGUAAUACGUAGGGGGCGAGCGUUGUCCGGAGUUACUGGGCGUAAAGCGCACGCAGGCGGUCCAUCAAGUUCGGAGUGACAAUUCUCGGCUUAACUGAGAAGGGUCUUCGAAAACUGGUGGACUUGAGGGCUCACGAGGGACACGGAAUUCCGGGUGGAGUGGUGAAAUGCGUAGAUAUCCGGAGGAACACCAAAGGCGAAGGCAGUGUCCUGGGGAGUACCUGACGCUCAGGUGCGAAAGCCAGGGGAGCAAACGGGAUUAGAUACCCCGGUAGUCC
rnacentral:rRNA from 1 species